rnacentral:rRNA from 1 species
AGGGCACCACCAGGAGKGGAGCCUGCGGCUUAAUUUGACUCAACACGGGAAAACUCACCCGGCCCGGACACUGGAAGGAUUGACAGAUUGAGAGCUCUUUCUUGAUUCAGUGGGUGGUGGUGCAUGGCCGUUCUUAGUUGGUGGAGUGAUUUGUCUGGUUAAUUCCGAUAACGAACGAGACUCUAGCCUACUAAAUAGAUCGUCGGCUUACAAACGCCGGCGAGACUUCUUAGAGGGACAGGCGGUGAUUCAACCGCACGAAACAGAGCAAUAACAGGUCUGUGAUGCCCUUAGAUGUCCGGGGCCGCACGCGCGCUACACUGAAGUGAUCAGCGUGCUUUUUCAACCUACUCUGUCAAGAGKGGGGAACCCAAUGAACCUUCUUCGUGAUUGGGAUAGGGGAUUGUAAUUGUUCCCCUUGAACGAGGAAUUCCCAGUAAGCGCGAGUCAUAAGCUCGCGUUGAUUACGUCCCUGCCCUUUGUACACACCGCCCGUCGCUACUACCGAUUGAAUGUUUU